CUAUAAAUACGGGCGCGCUAGUCAGCGCGCUCUCUCACUUUUGCGAUGUUUCCGUGGAAGAGCGUCAGAGCGUAUAAAAAUGAGAAACUCCGGUUGCUACAGGAAGGGGGCUGAACGUGGUCUGGAUCUCCUGCAGAUGAAGACUCUCCAGCUGUUGCAGCGCUGAUGUCACACAAGACCCCUGAAUACCGUGAUCCCAGUGGCCUGUUGUGUUGAGGAUAAGGUAACUGUUCAAAGGUCUGGAAGGUCCAUCAAGAUCAUCCUGUUGUGGGAAAGAUGUGUGAAGAUCUACAGAAAUAAAGCUCUCUGUUCCUACCCCCUUUACUAUGUAAAGUUGUAGAAGUGACUAGAACAUGGCUGGCUGUAAGUGCAACCAAAGACUUGGAUUUGGGUGUGCUUUGUUGAAACUAGACUCUGCAGGACCGUUUUUGUUUAGGACCAGGAAUGAGGAACCCUAUAUAUUAGGGUUUUUAACAAUGCAACAAUGUGAAAAAUGAAGAGGUUCUGAAUUCACCAGGAGCUGGGUUUUUGCUCCUGGAGCAGCAGAGAUCAGCUCUAGCCCCAGUUAAACACCUGAAUCAGAUGAUCAAGGACUUCAAAGUGUGUUUGUGCUCAACUCCACUGGAACGUGUUCUUCCAGGGUCCAGGCUGGACACCCCUGCUCUAGCGUCAUUGACUGAUAUACAGAGAAUGAAUGAGGUGUCUGAAGUGGUACAGUGUUUCUCAUUUGGUUCUGUUCUUAAAAACUGGGAAUAAAAAUGUUAAAUGACACUCGUAUCAAUUUGUCUUGAGUACUUGAAAGUUUUAAAACUUGAUUUAAAAAUUAACCCUCUAAAGUGUACUCGUCUUGGACUUUCCUGUAGCACCUCUGCGAGGCCUCUGGUUUGAAUAAUGCUGAAGUGAAUACUGAGGUGUCUCGGAUGUCUAAUGGGAGAGAAUGGCUAUGCAUGUGUUCGUAUUUGAUCUGCAUUAAUCAUUGCUUUGUGUAGUAUGGUUUUUACAAAUCGCAAAUUAUAUAAAUCAUAUAAAUUAAAAACUUCAAAUAAUGAAUAAAACACAAAUAUAACACAUACAUGAAAUUAUAAAUUAAAAUGCUCCAUCAGGACCACUGCGAGAUAAGCCUGUCACAGAGGGAGUUUUGGUUCCUUGCCGCUGUCGCCUCUGGCUUGCUCAGUUGGAGACCUUUAAUUUCUAGCAAUUAUCGCUGAUUUGAUUGCACAGAUACUAUUUAAACUAAACCGAGCUAGACAAUGACAUCUCUGAAUUCAAUAAUGAAAUGCCUUUAACUGAAAAUUGAGUGUUUAAUCUUAUUAUACAUUACUGACACUCUAUCCUCCAAUUUGAUACUGUUAAGUGCUUUGACACAAACUGUAUUGUUAAGCGCUAUAUAAAUAAAGAUGACUUGACUAUA